GCGGUACAGCUGCGGUCGAAGUCGUUGACUCUUGAUCAGCGGGUCCGGGGUUCGAGUCCCUGACGGCGCA
rnacentral:tRNA from 1 species